CUCUCUCUCUCUCUCUCUCUCUCUCUCUCUCUCUCUCUCGUUCUCCCCCUCCCCCUCUCACCCCCCUCCCUCUCACCUCCCUCCUCCCUGUUCGCAUCUCAUUAAUUCCGUGCGAGACGGAGUGUGACAUGUGAGAGCCCCUGACAGGCACGGAGCGAUCGCUUAGCGCACACACACGCGCACACAUACACACACGCACCCCGUGUGCUCGUUCCCUUCCUCCUCCUCCUCCGCUGGCGUGCGCACGGCCUCUCCCUCCUUUUUCCUUUUUAUAUCUCGCUGUCUCGUUUCUCCCUCGCACGCUCCCCCCCUCUCCCCCCUCUCUCUUUUCUCUUUUCGCUUCACACACACACACGCACACACACACACACACACACACACACACGCUUUUACUUGCACGCACACACAUACACACACUGUCUCGCUCGCUUUCUCUCAACGAUUUGCGCUCUCCUGGCGCUCUUGCCGGAAAAUCUUUAACUCUUUCCUUCCUCUCUCAUCCCUCCACCGUUUUCUCUUCUCGGAACCUCAACCUCGGAGAAACGGUUUCGAAAAUAGAUUAGAACGUCUUAGAAAAGAAUUUAGUCUGGAUAGAACCAAAGGUCAAAAAUGCAGAAGGAAUUUAAUUUCAUUUCAUUUAAACUACAUCCGAAAUAUAAUCCAGCUUCUACACGGGAAACGAACACCGCAGUUAGUACAUUUAUCUGGAUUGUUUAAAUAUUGAGUAUUUAAUAUUAGUGUUGUCAAAUUCAAGAUGGCUACCGACCUAGCUAGCUAGCUAGAGCAAUUGUUUACACUUUAUUGUUCAACUUUAUUGUUACGCUUUAUCCGAUCGCAUUUGUGGCUGAAACAAAAUAUUACGACAUGUUAUCCGUCACUGAAGAUGUUUUUUUUUCUUCAUACGAUCACAAUUAUUGGAAUUUAUUUAUUUAUUUAUUUUUCGUAAUAGCUGUAUAGUAGGAAUGUGUUGUUUUUUUUCUUUCUUUCAAUAGUUUUAAAAUGUUUGACUUGUAGCUAGCCAAUUUUCCGGUUUCUAAAAGAAAUUUACGGCUCUCCAAACGUAAAGGUUUAUCGUAAACUGUGUCCGUAGCAUUUGCUUGUUUUCUGCCCCACGGUAACGAGUUAGCUUGAUUUUGAUUGCAUUGUGGUUUAGCGUUAAGUCUGACCUCGUUAGAAUCUACGUGAUUCUGUGAAUUCCGUGUUGACGGUAAAACCGACGGGCAACGAUUUUUAGUUAGCUGAUAGCUACGCGAGGUCUUUUUUUUUUUUGUGGUGCUGCAAACAAAUUUGUGUGCAACCGAGGCGUUCGGUUGAUGUUGCGUUGCAGCGGCGUUUCCGUGGCUGUGUGUAAUUGCGCGCUUGGCGUUGUGUGCCUGAUUUAGGCAGAUUAAUGGCGAGCUGGAUUAGUUCCGGCAGCGAGGCUGAAAGGACUGGCACAGAGCACAGGAAAUGAGCGAUUACUGCAGCGAGCGCAUGAUCGCUCUCCCUCUCUCUCUCUCUCGCUCUCUCGAGGCGUUUCAUUCGCUCUUCAUGCUCCCUCGUCCUCGCUCUCUGUCCCUCAUUUCCCUCCUCACGUGGCAAAGCUGAGAGAAAGCGAUGUUCCCUGAAGCAGGACUCGGUAGGGCGAAAGUGACGGAAAGAGGAGGGGUUGUUUAUAGUUCUGUUUUUUCCGUUUCUCCAUCUGUCUGUCUCCGUCUCUCUCUCUCUCUCGUGUUCCAAUUGGGGUGUAGCCAUUCUCCCUUCCUGUCUGAUGUAACCAUACGGUUUAGGUGUGUUUGCGUAUGUGCGUGUUUACUUUGUGUCACCGUGCUUGUUUACUGGAGCCGUCUACCUUCAUAUCAUGCAGGACUCUGAUAACACACACACAGGACUGACAUCCUGCCCUCCCCCAGUCCGCUCACUGUUUGCACACCGUCUACUUUAUUCUCUCGUCGUACCCGUGAAUGGGAAGUGAAGGAAACGCUGUGAUGACGCUCAGUCGCCCCGAACACUGAUACCACCUCCUUCUUCUUUUUCUUUUCUGUUCUUUUCUUCUUUUACCUGCCCGAGAUCCAAGCUAGCAUAACCGCCUGUGUGUCCAGUUUGGUCAAUAACAACCGGAACGUCCCCUUCCGUCUAUGUGGCUUGGCUCCAGCCCACAUGUUUGUGUUCUGAUUAGCAUGUUUAGCUACUUUGCAGAAAUCCAGAUUGCUCUCGGCAGCUUACACCGAACAUGUCAAUAAUGUUGCUCUUAAUAAGUCACACUUUAACUCGGAUGCCAACCGGAAUGUUUUUUUAUCGAUCGAUUAGCAUUUCCAAUUUUUUUUUUUAAACAGAUAGUGAGAUGGCAACCGGUUUUGCUACCAAGUCCUUUAGCUACACGUUUUUAACGUUGAUUAUCAUUUUACAAAAUAUUUAUAAAUUAGCCUUUUAUAAAGAAGUGAAUUUUUUGUUCACAUUUCCGGCAUUUAGCACACUCCCUUAUCUAGGGUACUUACAUUUUUAUUUUAUUUUAUAUUAUACAACCGAGCAAAUGAGGGCCUUGCUCAGGGGCCUGGCAGUGGCAGCUUGGUGAACCUGGGAUUUGAACUCAUGACCUUCCGGUCAAUAGUCCAACACCUUAACCAUACCACAUAUCUUGCACUGUUUCCAUUCACCUUGGAUUGUUUGCUAGCUAGAUAAUAGCUAAAUAUUAGUAAAGCUGCUAGCUAAGAGUUGAGAAAAAACGUCUGAUUUACGGAGUCCUGAACACGAUGGAGAUGUUCACGCAUUCGUUCACGUCAAAAUCUAUACGCGUGUAGACGUGUUUGCGUUCACUGCGGCAGUGAGGAAGUGAUUUGGUUGAAUUGCGUUACUGCGUUGUUGUAAUAGUUUAUGUAUACGCUAAUGUUACUGAUUUGACUUGGUCUCCUGUCUCAAGCUCUUUAUCUCUCUCUCUCUCUCUCUCUCUCUCUCUCUCCCCACCGACUGGCGCGCGGCCAUUAAAGGUCUCGUCCUGAUCUCCGCUUUAAUUAAUCACCGGCCCGGAGGCGCUAAAUGCGCGAGGUUUUUAGGCCAUUAGCUGCCCGCGCCGCGCGCCUCUCACUCUCACCGUGCCGCGCGCAGCACUAAUUAACACCGCCGGUUGGGGUGGGGGAUUGGGGGCGCGUGGGACGGUAAUGGCCUCGAACUCCUUCACCACGUACACAAUCACACGUGCUACGUCAACUAUAAAUAAAACCGUCGUCACGGCGUACUUAUAGACACCGAGAGCCUAUUUUGGAAUAAAUUCCACGGUUGGCGCGAGGGCUUAAAAGCUCCACUGGGCUUUCUUUUCCCGCCAAUCUUUCCAACGCCUUGGCUCGAGCAUGAUCUCCGAACCCCCCCCCCCUUCCUUUCCCAUAAGGCGCGCAAGCUCUAAUUCCGCUCUAAUGCCUUUAUAAUGCGCGCGGUGACAGCGCUUCGCUCUGAGCUGAGCCGAGCCCCGCGUGCGUUACUCUUUAAAGAGUCGCGAGAGAAGGGAGAGCAGAUCGCUCGGGGCAAAAGUGACACUCUCUCUCACACACACACACUAUAAUCUCGUGACGUGUAGUAUUCAUCCCUCUCCACCAGCUAUAAUAUCUUUCUCUCGAGCUCGCGCACCCGCCCUUUUGCUGGCCUUAACGGUCGAGGACAGUCUGGCUGACUCUGUGUGUGUGUGUGUGUGUGUGUGUGUGUGUGUGUGUGUUCUCAGUCUGUUGGCAUCGUCUUGUUUUUCUAGUCCUUCGCUUUUUCCUGCCCCUCCCUCGCGCCCCCUCGGCUUUAAGACAGGAAGCCGCGCGCUCGGUGUGUGUGCGCGCUUGCUUGCGUUUGUGUUCGUGUCCGUGCGCGCGCGCUCGAGAUAAGCCGUGAUAGCUGACUGGCCUGCCAGCCUGUGUGUGUGCGUGUGUGUGUGUGUGAGUGUGUGAAAGCCACAAGCGGCUGUGUGGCGCUGCCGCCGCUUUGAAAUAUGACAAGGCUUCGCGCUCGAGCCUUUCAACGCGCCGCUUGGCCCUCUGUGUGUGUGUGUGUGUGGUUGAACAGUGCGCGCACACACGCACACCUAAGAGCAGCAGUAAACACGGAAACAUUACGCAGCCAGCCAACGCUUUCGCACGAGCUUUUUUCCCCUCGCUCCAUUUUUUUCUCAUUUCCUCUCUCUAUCUCUCUCUCUCUCUCUCUGUCUUUCUGUCUCUCUCUCUCUGUCUUUCUGUCUCUGUCUUUCUGUGUCUCUCUCUCUCUCGCUCUCUCUUUCUCUUUGUGUGUCUCUCUCUGUGUGUGUCUCUCUCUCUGUCUCUGUCUCUCUCAUUCAGCCGCUUCCAAAACAAAUCGCUCGCAGCAUGAUUCUCCUCCAGGCAAUCCGUCUGUGUGUGGUGGGAGAGAGAGAGGGAGAGAGAGAGGGAGAGAGAACUAGCGGUCUGGGCUCAUGUCUGAUUUAUUCCGGAUGCACUCCGCAGGGUUUGAGCUCGAGUGGAAACAAUCGGUGCGGUCUGAAAAAGGAAAAAAAAAAAAAAAAUAGGCUACGCACUUCAGCGCAGCGCGUGCAAUAGCGAGCGUUUUUUUUUUUUAAAUGGUGUGGUUCGGGCACAAAAUAUGUAACACAGACAAGUGAAACGCUCUUGAUGGUGACGGGCAGCAGCAAGGCUCCUUUACCCUAACAGCCUGUCCUCGCCACGUGUCAUGGCCUUUCUUUAAAAAAUUGUACCUAAAAGCUGUAGUAUAAGAGAAAACUUCAGGAUGAGUGACAGUGACCGUCAUCAUCCGCACGCUGAGUUUAUUCCUAAAGCCGGAACAGUCCGGUGUUUUAUUCCUCUUGUACCAUGCCAGUAUACCAACAACCGCCAUUUUUAUUUGUUAUAGAACAACUUGUAGUGAGAAUGUACCAGAGUACUCUCUCUCUAUUUUUCUCUCUCUCUCUUUCUCUCUCUCUCUUUUCGCUUUCUCUCACUCUCUGGACUCUCCACUUCCCUCGUGCUUCCUGAGCCGCUGUGACAUCCGUCUGCAUCGCUCCGAGCCUGUUGUUU